UUUCCGUAGGUGAACCUGCGGAAGGAUCAUUAUUGAAUGAAACACUUCUGGCUUUAUGCUGUUGUGCUGGCCCUUUGGGCAAUGUGCACACGGCUCUGGUCACUUGUUUCUUCUGUUCCACCUGUGCACUGCCUGUAGACACGCUGUGUCUAUGAUAUUUGUUAACACACAACAAUGUUAGUUGGCAUGUUAUAUGUAAUAAUAAAAUAUACAACUUUCAACAACGGAUCUCUUGGCUCUC
rnacentral:misc_RNA from 1 species